GUUGCUUAGAGAUUUAUACGACUUAGAUCCUAUCGCGCGUGUCAAAGUAAGUAGAAAUACUCAUGGUUAGCCUGUUGGAUCUGAAGCUCGACUUUUAGUAGGCUAUUUGGGAAUUUUAGCACGAAAUGCCAAUAUGUUGCCCAUUAACUACGAAUCAUGGCAUCACAUGCCUGAUAGCAACAAAAAUCAAGCUCUCGCUAAAAUUAAGGAGAGGUUUUCUUUAGAGGUCUCCGAUGAUUAUAUCAAGAAGGCAUUGGGUAAAAAAUAGAGAGACAAUAAAAGCACUUUAAAAAAAUAAUAUUUUAAGAAAGACAUAAGUCCGCCGGGAAUGCUGAAGUACCAAUGAGAAAAUGCGGUUAGAUUCUAAAAUUCAAAGAAAUGAGAGGUAUUACGUAUUUCCAAA